CUGGAAGAGACCCGGUUUCCAGCGCUGAGGGGCUCAGGAUUCCCAGGUCCCCUGUGAGGGAGUCAUGCAUAAAGUCUGUAACUGGAGAACCCUGACUGCCAGUCGAUUCCACUCUGGACUCAAUUUCGCAAGUCAAGGGAUAACUGCGAUAAUUUUUCCUGACCUGCGAUUUCUGAAGUUCAUAUGAUGGAAUUCUGUGUGACCCUGGAGUCUGGCGUGAGGAGGAAUAACAGGGCUUCCUCCCAGCCAAGGGCUCUUUAAUGCCCAGCCUGGGGUGGCCCAGAAAUCUUGCAGCGAAUCUACAGAUGGGCUGUGACGGGGUCAAAUGGAAACUCGUUCAGGACGUUGCUCGUGCCAUGUAGUGCUCUUACCCCUGUCACUUUGAUAAGGAAUAGGGUUUUUUCCCCCCCUAUAGAUUUUUAAGAUGAUUUUGUGCCUCAGGUUUACUUAUGUUUUAAGAAAUAUUUUCCAAGAUAAAGUAUUUUUUUUCCACUUGGAAUAAGGAAUGUUUGUUGAGAUUCAUUCGGCAUUGUUUCAGCGGACCGCUCCCCGCUUGACCCCUGCCGCCCCCAGGAGAGCGUUUGGAUUGGAG
rnacentral:lncRNA from 13 species